UACAGAGACUGCAAGCGUUAUUCGGAUUCACUGGGCGUAAAGGGUGCGCAGGCGGUUGGGUGUGUCAGAUGUGAAAUCCCGAGGCUUAACCUCGGAACUGCGUCUGAAACUACUCGACUAGAGUACUGGAGAGGGAAACGGAAUUCCCGGUGUAGCGGUGAAAUGCGCAGAUAUCGGGAAGAACACCCGUGGCGAAGGCGGCUCUCUGGGACGGUACUGACGCUGAGACGCGAAAGCGUGGGGAGCGAACAGG
rnacentral:rRNA from 1 species